rnacentral:rRNA from 1 species
UACGUAGGAGACGAGCGUUGUCCGGAAUCACUGGGCGUAAAGCGCGUGUAGGCGGGUCCGCAAGUCUGCUGUGAAAACUCCUGGCUUAACCGGGAGAGGUCGGUGGAAACUGCGAACCUGGAGGACGGUAGAGGCUGGUGGAAUUCCCGGUGUAGUGGUGAAAUGCGUAGAGAUCGGGAGGAACACCUGUGGCGAAGGCGGCCAGCUGGGCCGGACCUGACGCUGAGACGCGACAGCGUGGGGAGCAAACAGG